CAGCCAGUGGCGGAGUGGUCAAACGCAUCUGCGUAUCAAGGAGACUGUCGCGGGUUUGAAUCCCAUCUGGAUGG
rfam:Operophtera brumata OBRT01_Sc01162, whole genome shotgun sequence.